ACUCAAAGGAAUAGACGGGGGCCCGCACAAGCGGUGGAGCAUGUGGCUUAAUUCGAUGCAACGCGAAGAACCUUACCAGGGCUUGACAUGCACCUGCACGGUGGAGAAAUCCAUCAGCCUUCGAGGGUGGUGCACAGGUGGUGCAUGGCUGUCGUCAGCUCGUGUUGUGAAAUGUUGGGUUAAGUCCCGCAACGAGCGCAACCCUCAUGUUCUGUUACCAGCGAGUAAAGUCGGGGACUCGGAACAAACUGCCGCUGUAAAGCGGAGGAAGGUGGGGAUGACGUCAAGUCAUCAUGCCCCUUACGCCCUGGGCUGCACACAUGCUACAAUGGCCGGUACAAAGAGCUGCGAAGCCGCGAGGUGGAGCUAAUCUCAAAAAGCCGGUCUCAGUUCGGAUUGGAGUCUGCAACUCGACUCCAUGAAGUCGGAAUCGCUAGUAACCGCCGGUCAGCAAUACGGCGGUGAAUACGUUCCCGGGCCUUGCACACACCGCCCGU
rnacentral:rRNA from 1 species